CAAAGACAAGGAGCUUGUGAAGGCCAGAAGAAAGGAGGGGCCAAGGGAGACGUUAGGAGCCCCUUGAUCACCCUCUGUGGAUUUCAAAAAACAUGUCAGUUUCUGCCAUUUGAGGAACUAUUUACGUAUGGUCAUUUUUGAAGGCCCAAGACUAGAGCCGAGAAGAGGCAUCAGGACCAUUAUGGAAAUUUUAUCUUAAUAUAAUCUAGUAAGAAGGCAUGAGACAAGAUGGUCUCAGAUGCAGACUUAACUGUGCAAGCAUUCUGGAAGGAACUUGACAACAUCCGUUUCUGUGUGGGGUUAGCUGAGAAAUCUCAGGCCAAUGACCCUCUGAGGACACUGAGAUCGGCCUCGAAGAAAGUGAGACAAAUUUAUACAGAACUACGAAGAUUUUAACUGCAUGUUCCUGAAGAAGAGGUGUCAUCUCCACCUGGGCUCCCAUCCACCACUGUGCUACCAGAGUGAAGGAGACUGAAGCCUUCUCUGCUCUUAGCCUGGUUCUCAGCAGGGCCAGCCCCAAGCUCGGAGGAGGAGGCCAUAGACAUUUCACAAAUAUCUGGAGAGACUGGCUCUUCCAAAGGUCUCAUCUCUCAGUUUCCCCCUGCCUGGCUUAAGAAGAGAGCA
rnacentral:lncRNA from 1 species